UUGAGAGCUAAAAUGGUUUGCCAUCAUUUUUUCAAUAUGCUAUUCAAAUCCAUUUCAAUGAUUCACAAUUUCUAAUAGAACUACUGAAUGACACAUUGAGACUCAUUGAACCUGUUUUAUAACUACUGAAACUAAAUUAAGCAUUCAAACCUUGAUCAUGGAUCCAAAAACAACUGUCAGGCAGUCCAAUCAUUACAGACAAUACCAAUUUACAUAAGCAUGAAUGUUUCUUCUCAAUACCAAACAUGAAUUAAGUAAUUCAACAAUCAACUCCAAACCUUCAUCAUUUAGUCUCCAAAUCAGUAAAUUCACAUAGAUCCUUCAUAGUUCAAACAAAGCCAAGGAAAAGUACCUAGAAAUUGGACAGAAAUAGGAGAUGAGAGGUCAGUUCAAACAAUAACAAGUAGCAGCAAGAGAAAUCACUUUCCAGCAAUACAGAAUAAACGAACGACCCAAAAUGAUAUCCGGAAAUGCAGGAAUGCCGAAAAUCCAAACAAAGAUUAACCAACAUACCCAAAUCAGCUCGAUUUGACCUAUACCAACUCGACACUAACCCAAAAUUACCCUGAAACCUUCAGCAAACCUAUAUUUGAUCUAAAACCAGCUUAAACAGAUUUGAAACUGCAGGAAACCAAACUAGUAAAUCUCUGAAGUUUCAAAAACCCAAACUUUGAACUAGAAACUGGGAAGUCAGCAACUAAACAUGGAAAUUAACUUGCAUUAUCUAAUGGAACAGUAACUUUGCAUUAUCGAACCAAAAGAUGAAGAUCCAAUACUCCAAAUUUGCAAUUAAACUGAAAUUUUCAAUGAAACGGUGCUAUUUUGAGUUUUUGAAGUUUUCUGAUUCUAGUGUGUUUUCUUUUGUAUAUUUUUUUGUAUAUUUUGAAUGUCAAAUGCAUACUCCAAAUUGAAAAUCAGAGAGAGAGAGACUUUUCAAAAUAGGAAUCCUUUUUUUUCCUUGUUCUCCUCUCCUCUUGUUUGAUUUUAUAGCUCUUCUUGAAAAGAAGAGCCUUCCCCCUUCAAAAUAAACAGGCUGCCCAGACUUAAAGUAUAGUUCCUAAUCUGUACUUUCCACAUUUUGUUGUCUAGGCAUGAGUUUCCUUAUUUAAAAAUCUCCUGAAGUUCAAAAAGUAAUGCAUAUCCUACUGUACAACAGGUUUCACUACCUAUUACAUGUGCAUUCUCAUCUUUUAUUAUUAAAACUUAUCCUACAUCUGACUUCCCACCUUUAAAGAUGUCAGCCAGAAUGUAUUUGCACUAUAGAUUCCCUCUUUUGAUUAAAUUAUUCAUUAAUUUAAUGGUUCACUACAUACUCAACUGGCAGUCCACUUACUCUAAACCCUUUUUAAGUUCCAAAUCCCAAACUAAACUCUGAAAUCUACAUUAAAACUGCAGCUAUAACCAAUUCAACUUCCUAAAUUCUGGACUGAACUUCAACCACAAUAUGAUCUUGACUCAAAACUAUCCAAUUACCCAUUAAAACUCAGCAGUAAGCAUAUUAGGAUUAAACAAACCCAGGCAAAAUCAAUUAACAGUAAACUUAAACUAAUGAGUCAAGCAUCAACAAAGCGAAUCGAAUUCUUAAACAACACAAAAAAAAUGCAAACAAAAAUUCUAACACAACCUAAAAAUCAGAAUCAGUAAAGUUUAAACUAUCGAUUAACAUUCGUACCCAAUUCGUAACAGAUUAACUAACAUGCGAUUGAUUCAUAGUCGAUAACCGUAUACGAACAAACAAACAAUCGACCUAAUUAUAUGGGCUGGACCGGCGAAAUUGUGAAGAAAAAAAAAGAAAAUCGAAAGAAAAGAGUAGUAGGAGAACAAGACGACAUCAAACAACUAAAAAUAAACAGGAAAAUGGAAACAAGAGUACCUGAAAUCGAUCUAAGUAAGAACAAACUUGAAUUUCCACAUCUCUUCAAUUUUGGUCCACUCGAACAUUAUUCGUGUAUUUUGUUUUAGCAAAACACAAGAAUACAGUCCAAACGGACCUGAUCCGUUCACAAUAACCCCCACUCGCCCAUUUUGGGAUUUUAGGGUUCAUCUUCGAUCCAAUAUUUGAAAGGUUCUACGAGGAUUCGAAGAAUAAAGUUCAGGGUUUUGGAAAGAGGGUGCUUUGGCGGUUUAGGUGUGUUAUUUUGGUCGGAUUCGGAGUGGUUGCCGCCGGGUUUACGGUGAGGGGAUGGAUGGGUGGCGCUUAGGGUUCAGAGGUCGUUUGGUUCGUCUCUUUCAGAGACGAAGGGGGGGUGUUUGGAAAUGAGACGGGUAAAAGGGGUUUGGGGGGUCUUUUGACAUAUUAGAAAAUGAACUCUUGAUCUGGG
rnacentral:lncRNA from 1 species